rnacentral:rRNA from 1 species
UACGUAGGUGGCGAGCGUUGUCCGGAUUUAUUGGGCGUAAAGCGCGCGCAGGCGGUGCGGUACGUCUGUCGUGAAAUCUCCCGGCUCAACUGGGAGGGUGCGGUGGAGACUGCCGGACUGGAGGCACUCAGAGGCCGGUGGAAUUCCCGGUGUAGUGGUGAAAUGCGUAGAGAUCGGGAGGAACACCAGUGGCGAAGGCGGCCGGCUGGGGGUGACCUGACGCUGAGGCGCGAAAGCGUGGGGAGCGAACCGG